UAUCUUUUAAUUCGUAUAAUUCUCAGUCAAGUCGAACAAAACGGUCUAAAACAUCAGAAGAAAAUGAAUGGAAUCCUACAACUGCAGAGGUGCAAAGAGGCUUUGUUUUUCAUAUUGAAACAGUUAAUAAUUAAAGAGAAGCAAUAGAUAGUCUUAUUAACUAGGCACAACAGCAUAAAAUUUCACUUCGACCACGGCCUGUCAUCGUUGGACCUUUAACAGAUAUUAAAAGUUCAUUUAUGUUCGUAAAUGACACUCUUUAUAAUGCGGAAAGCCCAGCUCAUGCUGUUGAUUCAGCCUUCAGUUUAUAUUAUAUUUUGCACUUGCAAUUUCCAUUAAAAGCUAAAUCACCGUGGCUUUUAUUCAAAAAUUAGUAUAUGAAAUAGAUACAGUUCAUGAUAGGACAAUACCAUCAUCAGUAUCAGGUUUAAUAAGUGAUGUUCGAGCAGUGUUUAACCAAUUACAAAGAAACUAAAAUUUUAUUUGCAUAAAGUUAAAAUUAUUUUACAAACUUUAUUACUAUUAGGUUGAAUUUCUUGAAACAAUAGUCAAAGAUAUUGAAUAAUAUUGUAAUUAUAGCCGUAAUACGAUGUUCAUGUUUAGCUUAUUUCAAAUCUGUCCAAGAUUUUGAAAUACAUUUGACGCAUCACAAACCGCGAGACAUUUUCUAUAGGCUACUACGAAUGUAUUAAUAACUGUCACAGAAUAUUCAAUAAUUCAAAAUCCUUUAAAGCACAUUUACAGUCACAUAAGAAUCUAAAUAUACUUUCUCAACCUAGCGAACGUAUUAAUGUUAGCGUUGAAAAUAAUUCAAAUAAAAACUCUGUAUGUUAUGAGUCUGAAACUAAUAUAGUUGACGAUUUGUCAUGGAAUGAUCUGUACGAAGAAAUUAUUAAUAGUGAAGAAUCCUUCUGUGAGAAAAUAACAAAUAAUACAUUCGAAUUCACAUUGUUUACAGAAGUUCAUAAAUUAUCGUCAAACUCAUAUGGUCAAUAUGAUUUUCCACGCAAAACCAUUGAUAGUAUUAUUAUUAAAGAGUUAGACAAUUUUCUAAAUAAUAAUGUAUUAUUAUUUUUAAAAAACGAAGUUAAUGACUGUUUGAAUGAUUUUAAUGUCGAUUCUGAUAAAGCAAAAAAUAUAACAAAAAUGUUUGAUAGUUUUACUAAUUGUUUUUCCGAAGUAAAUACAGAAUGGAAAAGAUUAAAAAAAUACAGAGAAAAAGGUGAUUUUAUACCACCGAUUCCAGUUGUAGUUGGUGCAGAUAUUCGAAUUAAAAGUAAAAAAAAUAAGCAUAUUUCAUCACAUGAAAAAGCUGUUAUACAAUACAUUCCAAUAGCACCAGUGCUUAAAAGAUUUCCCGAAAUACCAUCUGUAUUACCAAGAAUAAAAUUAUAUGCUCAGUUUUUGGAGCAUCAGCAACGCGAUGGUAUUAUUUCAAAUUUUGUACAGGGCAACUUGUGGCAAACCAUAAUGAAAAAUUUUGAAAGUAAAUUUUUCAUGCCUUUAUUUAUUUAUUUCGAUGAUUUUGAAGCAAACAAUUGAACAAUGAAUACACACAGGUGGUAGUGGAAAAAUCAGUGGAGUAUAUUUACAUAUAGCAUUAUUACCUCCAGAAUUGAAAAGUAAAUUAGAUUUUAUGUACCUUAUACAGAUAUUCCAGACUAUCGAUAGAAAAAUUUUUGGACAUCGGGCUAUUUUCCGCCAAUUUAUCCAAGACUUAAAAGAUCUUUCAACCGUAGGUAUAAAAAUUCAUACGGAUGAUGGUGUUGAAACAAUUUACUUUUCUUUAGGAUUAAUACUUGGCGAUAAUUUGGGUAUGCACGAGUUACUUGGAUUCACAAGCUCUUUUAAUUGUACAUAUCCGUGACGUUUUUGUGAAAUGCCUAAAGUUUUAACAUCACCUGCAACAUCCGAAAUAGAAACUUUGAUAAGAACCAAAAAAUCAUAUGCAUCAGCAAUUCAAAUACUUGGUCAGGGAAAAGGGAAGCAUACUCUCAGUAUUGUUGAGGAGUGUGUGUGGAACAAAGUUCCAUUUUUUCAUGUAACAAUGCAUUUAUCAGUCGACUUGAUGCACGAUUAUCUGGAGGGUAUUGGCAUAUACGAACUUUCUGAUAUUUUAUAUUACAUAGUGCAUACAGCUAAAUUUGUUGAUACUGAGACAUUGAAUAAUCGAAUAGAAUCAUUUGAUUUUGGCCAAAUCGUAAACGUAAUAUACCCCCCGAUGUUCCACCUGACUCUGUAAAGAAUUUGAACAUAAAAAUGUCUUCUGCUGAAUGCGCUUGUUUAAUGAGACACUUAGGGAUGCUAAUUGGUGAUCGUAUUCCUGAAAAUGAUCGAAUGUGGUAUUUAUAUAUUUCUUUUAAUGAAAUAUUAGAUUUGCUGUAUAAAAAAGUACAUCAUACUUCGACAUAUGACUUAUUGCAUAACAUGAUAAUUCAUCACAUGCAAAUGUAUCAGUUAAUAACAAAAAGAAGUUUUAAACCAAAAAUGCAUCAUACACUGCAUCAUAAACGAGUUAGUCAGCUAGUAGGACCAUUAAUUCAUAUAUGGACGAUGCAUUUUGAAUGUAAAAAGAAGUGGUUUAUGGAAAUUGUGAGACUGACGAAUUCUAGCAGGAAUUUACCUUAUUCUCUUGCUCUUAAACAUCAAUAAAAACUUCAAACAGUA
rnacentral:lncRNA from 1 species